GACGAACGCUGGCGGCGUGCUUAACACAUGCAAGUCGAACGGAAGGGCCCUGCUUUUGUGGGGUGCUCGAGUGGCGAACGGGUGAGUAACACGUGAGUAACCUGCCCUUGACUUUGGGAUAACUUCAGGAAACUGGGGCUAAUACCGGAUAGGAGCUCCUGCUGCAUGGUGGGGGUUGGAAAGUUUCGGCGGUUGGGGAUGGACUCGCGGCUUAUCAGCUUGUUGGUGGGGUAGUGGCUUACCAAGGCUUUGACGGGUAGCCGGCCUGAGAGGGUGACCGGCCACAUUGGGACUGAGAUACGGCCCAGACUCCUACGGGAGGCAGCAGUGGGGAAUAUUGCACAAUAGGCGGAAGCCUGAUGCAGCAACGCCGCGUGCGGGAUGACGGCCUUCGGGUUGUAAACCGCUUUCGCCUGUGACGAAGCGUGAGUGACGGUAAUGGGUAAAGAAGCACCGGCUAACUACGUG
rnacentral:rRNA from 1 species